UUUUUUUUUAAUUCUUACUACCCUUCAAAAGCUCCAAGGACAAUUGUUAUCUUGCAUCCUAAGUGUUGAAGAUUCCGUGACUAGAGAUUGACGAAUGACGCCCUAACGGAGCACCGGCUGGUACGCGGGUACCGGGUCAAAAGAGAAACCAGCACUUUCCUCAUCACUCCAUCACACAACCAUAAAUAAAAUUAAAGCAACGAAAAUCGAGACGAGGGAGCAAGGGGCAUUUAGCCCUUUGGUGUACUCUAAGGAUGCAGCUCCCAAGCGGGAGCACGAGAAGUCCUCCAGCGCGAGCUCCAUAUCCAGCGACAACAUUUGGCAUCAUAGACGGUCAUAAGAUCAGUAUUAAACAUCAAUUACAGGGCGUGAAGAGUAACUCAAGCUCGAGUUGUCGGGAAAGAAGUAAGAACAAUAGCAACGGGAGCGACGACGGUCCCGACAACGACCUUAUACAUUUAAAUAAUAACAAACGUAAUUUAAGAAAGCAUUAUCCACUCAGAAUCUGUGAUCGACAGCCAUCGGCGUCGACUCUAAGGUGGACAGAACGAGCUGGAGAAUAGUCAGUAGAAGGCAAGUUAAAAAGAGGGGUCAUUAAAAAAACAGUGGUGAGUUAAUCAGAGGAGGUGGCAAUUACAAUAAUACAAUACAACCAGGUGGAAGGCUAUAAUAAUGGAAUAAAAGUAAUCCGGCAUAUAAAACAAAUAGUGUGUAAAAAAAAAAAAAGUGUGAACUUAAUAAGAAAAUCUAAGAACAGUUGCAAAACAUAACAAUUAUAGCGGUGGGCUCAGUAGAAAUAAGGAAACUGUCAAUAUUAUAAAUUUUAUUUUCGUUGUGUUGUGGAUAGCGACAAGCAAACAAAUUUUAGUUACGAGACUUUAAAACAAAAUUAUUGAGAACGCAAAAAAUAAGUUGAUAACUAAGCAAGCAGAGAAGUAGAAGGAAUAGAAGGCGCGACAUUGAGGAGGGAAAAGACAUCGUGCACUGGAAAGAGGGGAGAGCGGCUGUUAGAAGGAGUGUGGCAGUCGAAGUGGAAGGGAUCGCAUUGGGGUAUAGACAGAGUGUACAGAGCCACG